rnacentral:tRNA from 1 species
UCCCCUGUGGCUCAGUUGGUAGAGCAUGGUGUUUGCAACACCAGGGUUGUGGGUUCGAUUCCCACGGGGGAC